rnacentral:rRNA from 1 species
AACGAACGCUGGCGGCAUGCCUAACACAUGCAAGUCGAACGAGACCUUCGGGUCUAGUGGCGAACGGGUGCGUAACGCGUGGGGACCUGCCCUUAGGUUCGGAAUAACUCCCCGAAAGGGGUGCUAAUACCGGCUAAUGUCUUCGGACCAACGAUUUAUCGCCUUUGGAUGGGCCCGCGUUGGAUUAGCUAGUUGGUAGGGUAAAAGCCUACCAAGGCGACGAUCCAUAGCUGGUCUGAGAGGAUGAUCAGCCACACUGGGACUGAGACACGGCCCAGACUCCUACGGGAGGCAGCAGUGGGGAAUAUUGGACAAUGGGCGAAAGCCUGAUCCAGCAAUGCCGCGUGAGUGAUGAAGGCCUUAGGGUUGUAAAGCUCUUUUACCCGGGAUGAUAAUGACAGUACCAGGUGAAUAAGCUCCGGCUAACUCCGUG